rnacentral:rRNA from 1 species
GACGAACGCUGGCGGCGUGCUUAACACAUGCAAGUCGAACGGUGAAGCUCCAGCUUGCUGGAGUGGAUCAGUGGCGAACGGGUGAGUAACACGUGAGCAACCUGCCCCUGACUCUGGAAUAAGCGCUGGAAACGGCGUCUAAUCCUGGAUACGAGAAGGGUCCGCAUGGGCACUUUCUGGAAAGUUUUUCGGUUGGGGAUGGGCGCGCGGCCUAUCAGCUUGUUGGUGAGGUAAUGGCUCACCAAGGCAACGACGGGUAGCCGGCCUGAGAGGGCGACCGGCCACACUGGGACUGAGAGACGGCGCAGACUCCUACGGGAGGCAGCAGUGGGGAAUAUUGCACAAUGGGCGAAAGCCUGAUGCAGCGACGCCGCGGGAGGGAUGACGGCCUUCGGGUUGUAAACCUCUUUCAGCAGGGAAGAAGCGAAAGUGACGGUACCUGCAGAAGAAGCACCGGCUAACUACGUG